CUGCAUUCCACCGGCCACCAUCUUUACUGCGAGGGGAAACCGCUGUCAUGCAGCCAAGUGAGAGAUUAUUUUGUCUAACAGGCUACAGCAUGAAACACAGCACGUCUCCCAUUUGAUUCAAACACACAAGCUGAAGGAGUUCAGGGUCUUUGAGACAGGAAAACAUGGUGAUAAAAGGAUAGGAGGGCAACAUUCUGUCAUCUUUAAUUAACAUGCAUUAUCAAAUUAGAAGCAUCUAUCGUGUUCCUAAGUGUAAGAUUUAGGUCAAAGGAAAGGAUAAAAA